CUCGCUGCCGCGUCUGCGCAGGUUGUGGUGGGAGCCACGCGGCCGCCGAAGCCGCGUUCCAACUCCUGCUCCUCCCUCUCCAACAACUCCCGCUCCUCCCUCUCCUCCUUCUUCUACUCCUCCUCCUCAGCCGCCGCUGCCCCGGCCCCGCAGGGCGGUGCCCCGCUGCCGAGAGGACCGCGCGCCCAGCCCCGCCGACCCGCGGGACGCGACGCGACGCGACAGGGCUCGACGGGACGCCACGGACCGCCCGACGGCCGGCCGGACGACCGCACGGAAAGAGGCACGGCCGGCGCGAGGCCGCAGCAAAAUUUAAACUCCCUGCUCUCUGGUGCCAGCUGUAGCUCCUGCAUCAUGGACCGAUAACUAUAAGGAACUCAGAAAUCAUCUACUUCCAACCCCCUCGUUUUACAGAUAAAGGAACUGAGGCCAAGAGGCCUGACUUGAGGCCCACCUUGGGCAAGGCAAGACAGGUGGAAGAUCCAGGAUCUGACUGCUGCCUCCAAAUGUAGAACUCUUUCUAUGGUCCCGCCUUGGGAUCCUUUAACCUGCCUGGCCCACUCUUUGCACGCCAGAAAGUGCGUUGAGGUGUUUAAAAUCUACUUUGCGCCUUGUAUUCCCUAUGCUUGAGGUAUUUUUUCCUGUUGAUUUCCUGUGUGCCCCUUUAAAGCCCUUCUCAGAGGCUAUGUCUUUCAGUAAACCUUUUUUAAUCUUCUCUGGUUGUUAAAGAUUCUGCUGUUCCUACAGCUUUGGAUUUAACUUUGCCUUUAAUUUUGCAAUUCUGUGACACAUGUAACUAUGAUGUAUUAAUGUUAAAUUAUUAAAAUGUUAAAUGACACUUG